rnacentral:tRNA from 1 species
GGUAGAUUGGCGAAACAGGCAAACGCAGCAGUCUCAAACACUGCCGGGAAACCUUACGAGUUCGAGUCUCGUAUCUACUA